rnacentral:rRNA from 1 species
UGCCAGACUCCUACGGGAGGCAGCAGUGGGGAAUAUUGCACAAUGGGGGAAACCCUGAUGCAGCGACGCCGCGUGAGCGAUGAAGUAUUUCGGUAUGUAAAGCUCUAUCAGCAGGGAAGAAGAUGACGGUACCUGACUAAGAAGCCCCGGCUAACUACGUGCCAGCAGCCGCGGUAAUACGUAGGGGGCAAGCGUUAUCCGGAUUUACUGGGUGUAAAGGGAGCGUAGACGGCGAUGCAAGCCAGAUGUGAAAGCCCGGGGCGCAACCCCGGGACUGCAUUUGGAACUGUGUGGCUGGAGUGUCGGAGAGGCAGGCGGAAUUCCUAGUGUAGCGGUGAAAUGCGUAGAUAUUAGGAGGAACACCAGUGGCGAAGGCGGCCUGCUGGACGAUGACUGACGUUGAGGCUCGAAAGCGUGGGGAGCAAACAGGAUUAGAUACCCUAGUAAA